GACGAACGCUGGCGGCGUGCUUAACACAUGCAAGUCGAACGGAAAGGCCCUGCUUUUGUGGGGUGCUCGAGUGGCGAACGGGUGAGUAACACGUGAGUAACCUGCCCUUGACUUUGGGAUAACUUCAGGAAACUGGGGCUAAUACCGGAUAGGAGCUCCUGCUGCAUGGUGGGGGUUGGAAAGUUUCGGCGGUUGGGGAUGGACUCGCGGCUUAUCAGCUUGUUGGUGGGGUAGUGGCUUACCAAGGCGUUGACGGGUAGCCGGCCUGGGAGGGUGACCGGCCACAUUGCGACUGAGAUACGGCCCAGACUCCUACGGGAGGCAGCAGUGGGGAAUAUUGCACAAUGGGCGGAAGCCUGAUGCAGCAACGCCGCGUGCGGGAUGACGGCCUUCGGGUUGUAAACCGCUUUCGCCUGUGACGAAGCGUGAGUGACGGUAAUGGGUAAAGAAGCACCGGCUAACUACGUG
rnacentral:rRNA from 1 species